rnacentral:lncRNA from 1 species
AUUUUUCCAGAGGUUAACGCUUAUCAUACUUGCAUCACUUUUCUAAAAUCGCAUUUUUUUACACCUCCUAAACAGUCAUUGUUACUAACGGUCUUAAUUAUUUUUUAAAUGCCCAAAUGAUCCCUGCCCAAAUGAAAUGCACCCCUCCAGUUUACUCCACUCGAAAAACACAACAGACCCAAUCUUAUUUGUGAAAUACUUCAGGAUUUGCAAUUUCGAACAAACACAAGCUAGGGUUUGCGAAAUCUUGUUCCCA